GAUCAGCAUGCUACGGUGAAUACGUUCCCGGGUCUUGUACACACCGCCCGUCACACCACGAGAGUUUGUAACACCCGAAGCCGGUGGAGUAACCAUUUAUGGAGCUAGCCGACGAAGGUGGGACAAAGGAUUGGGGUGAAGUCGUAACAAGGUAGCCGUAUCGGAAGGUGCGGCUGGAUCACCUCCUUUCUAAGGA
rnacentral:rRNA from 1 species